rnacentral:rRNA from 1 species
AUUGAACGCUGGCGGCAUGCCUUACACAUGCAAGUCGAACGGCAGCGGACCUUCGGGUGCCGGCGAGUGGCGAACGGGUGAGUAAUAUAUCGGAACGUACCUUUCAGUGGGGGAUAACGUAGCGAAAGUUACGCUAAUACCGCAUAUUCUGUGAGCAGGAAAGCAGGGGAUCGCAAGACCUUGCGCUGAUUGAGCGGCCGAUAUCAGAUUAGCUAGUUGGUGAGGUAAAGGCUCACCAAGGCGACGAUCUGUAGCGGGUCUGAGAGGAUGAUCCGCCACAUUGGAACUGAGACACGGUCCAGACUCCUACGGGAGGCAGCAGUGGGGAAUUUUGGACAAUGGGCGCAAGCCUGAUCCAGCCAUGCCGCGUGAGUGAAGAAGGCCUCGG